AUUGAACGCUAGCGGGAUGCUUUACACAUGCAAGUCGAACGAGUGGCGGACGGGUGAGUAAUAUAUCGGAAAGUGCCCAGUAGCGGGGGAUAACUACUCGAAAGAGUGGCUAAUACCGCAUACUAAUGGAGCGGACGAUAUCGGAUUAGCUAGUUGGUGGGGUAAAGGCUCACAAAGUCCACGAUCCGUAACUGGUUUGAGAGGAGGACCAGCCACAAUGGGACGGAGACACGGCCCAGACUCCUACGGGAGGCAGCAGUGGGGAAUGUGGGACAAUGGGGGAAACCCUGACCCAGCCAUCCCGCGUGGAGGAGAAGUCCUUCGGGUUGUAAAGUACGUUUGUCAGAGAAGCGGUAUCUGCAGAAUAAGCACCGGCUAACUACGUGCCAGCAGCCGCGGUAAUAC
rnacentral:rRNA from 1 species